GUGAGUCACUGUGUCCAGCUUUAAAAGUAUUUAAAAGUAUUGCUUUUGAAAAGUAUUGCUUUUCACAAUUAUGUUACUUUAUUUUAUUAUUUUAUUUUUAUUUAUUUAUUUUGAGACAUAGCCUCGCUCUGUCACCCAAACCAGAGUGCUGUGACGUGAUCUCGUCUCACUGCAACCUCUGCCUCCCGGGUUCCAGCAAUUUUCCUGCCUCAGCCUCCAGAGUAGCUGGGACUGCGGGCACGCACCACCACACCUGGCUAAUUUUUGUAUUUUGUUUGUUUGUUUGAGAUGGAGUCUCGCUCUGUCACCCGGGCUGAAGUGCAGUGGCACGAUCUCAGCUCACUGCAACCUCCGCCUCCUGAGUUCAAGCAAUUCUCCUGCCUCAGCCUUCCAAGUAGCUGGGAUUACAGGCCACUCCCCAGGUCACCCACUACCAUGCACAGCUGAUUUUUUUUUUUUUUUGUAUUUUUAGUAGAGACAGGUGAACAGGUGAAACAACAGGUUUCACCAUGUUGGCCAGUCUGGUCUUGUUUUGUUUUGUUUUGUUUUGUUUUGACAUUGAGUCUCGCUCUGUCCCCCAGGCUGGAGUGCAG
rnacentral:lncRNA from 10 species